rnacentral:rRNA from 1 species
CAGUAGCCGCGGGAAUACGAAGGGGGCUAGCGUUACUCGGAAUUACUGGGCGUAAAGGGCGCGUAGGCGGCACGAUUAGUCAGGCGUGAAAUUCCUGGGCUCAACCUGGGGACUGCGCUUGAUACGGUCGAGCUAGAGGAUGGAAGAGGGUUGUGGGAUUCCCAGUGUAGAGGUGAAAUUCGUAGAUAUUGGGAAGAACAUCAGUGGCGAAGGCGGCCAUCUGGGACAACACUGACGCUGAGGUACGAAAGCGUGGGGAGCAAACAGGAUUAGAUACCCCAGUAGUCCCUGUCUCUUAUAC